rnacentral:misc_RNA from 1 species
GUAAACUACAUGUUUUCCUCUUGAAAUAUAGGGGAAGAUAUGAGAUAUCCCAAUUCUGCUCCAAGCAUAAGACACAAUUGAGAACUGAAUUAUGGAACAUACAUGCAGUGGACAUAUUACAUUCCUUCCGUCUAAUUUUACCUGACAUCAUUACUGGACUAGUAAUUUUAAAUAUUAGAAAUCAACUUGUAUACAAGUGUUGGAGAAAAUAGUUGAGUAAUUGGUGAAUAUUAGCUUGGUGGAGAAGUCAUACUUUGAUGUUUAUAUUUUCUAUGGAAAAGGAUCAAAAAUACCCUUGAACUAUCUGAAAUAGCUCAAAUAUACCUUUGAACUAUAUUUCGGCUCAAAUAUAC